UAUGGAGAGUUUGAUCCUGGCUCAGAACGAACGCUGGCGGCGUGCUUAAUACAUGCAAGUCGUGCGAGAAAGUCGUCUUCGGAUGACGAGUAAAGCGGCGAACGGGUGAGUAACACGUAAGGAAUCUGCCCCUGAAUCCGGAAUAACAUUGCUAACGCAGUGCUAAUACCGGAUGUGGUCUCGUUAUCGCAUGGUUUCGAGAUUAAAGGUGACCUCUUCUUGAAAGUUUCUGUUCAGGGAUGACCUUGCGGCCCAUUAGUUUGUUGGCGGGGUAAUGGCCCACCAAGACUGCGAUGGGUAGCCGGCCUGAGAGGGUGAUCGGCCACAUUGGGACUGAGAUACGGCCCAGACUCCUACGGGAGGCAGCAGUAGGGAAUUUUGCGCAAUGGACGAAAGUCUGACGCAGCAACGCCGCGUGAGGGAUGAAGGUUCUCGGAUCGUAAACCUCUGUUGAGUGGGAAGAAACGUGGAAUGGUUAAUACCCAUUUUGCCUGACGGUACCACUCGAGGAAGCCCCGGCUAACUACGUGCCAGCAGCCGCGGUAAUACGUAGGGGGCAAGCGUUGUUCGGAAUCACUGGGCGUAAAGAGAGCGUAGGCGGAAGUAUAAGUCGGAUGUGAAAUCUAUUGGCUUAACCGGUAGCUUGCAUCCGAUACUGUAUUUCUUGAGUAUUGGAGAGGGCGAUGGAAUUCCAGGUGUAGCGGUGGAAUGCGUAGAUAUCUGGAAGAACACCAGUUGCGAAGGCGGUCGCCUGGCCAAAUACUGACGCUGAGGCUCGAAAGCUAGGGGAGCGAACAGGAUUAGAUACCCUGGUAGUCCUAGCUGUAAACGAUGGACACUAGAUGCCGGUUGAGUCAAUCCGAUCGGUGUCGUAGCUAACGCGUUAAGUGUCCCGCCUGGGGAGUACGCUCGCAAGGGUGAAACUCAAAGGAAUUGACGGGGGUCCGCACAAGCGGUGGAGCAUGUGCUUUAAUUCGAUGCAACGCGAAGAACCUUACCUGGGUUUGACAUGGGAGUGAAACUC
rnacentral:rRNA from 1 species